rnacentral:rRNA from 1 species
UCCAGAGAAUUUAGCAGAGAUGCUUUAGUGCCUUCGGGAACUCUGAGACAGGUGCUGCAUGGCUGUCGUCAGCUCGUGUUGUGAAAUGUUCGGGUUAAGUCCCGNAACGAGCGCAACCCUUAUCCUUUGUUGCCAGCACGUAAUGGUGGGAACUCAAAGGAGACUGCCGGUGAUAAACCGGAGGAAGGUGGGGAUGACGUCAAGUCAUCAUGGCCCUUACGAGUAGGGCUACACACGUGCUACAAUGGCGCAUACAAAGAGAAGCGACCUCGCGAGAGCAAGCGGACCUCAUAAAGUGCGUCGUAGUCCGGAUUGGAGUCUGCAACUCGACUCCAUGAAGUCGGAAUCGCUAGUAAUCGUAAAUCAGAAUGUUACGGUGAAUACGUUCCCGGGCCUUGUACACACCGCCCGUCACACCAUGGGAGUGGGUUGCAAAAGAAGUAGAUAGCUUAACCUUCGGGAGGGCGUUUACCACUUUGUGAUUCAUGACUGGGGUGAAGUCGUAACAAGGUAAGCGUAGUGCU